UACGUAGGGUGCAAGCGUUAAUCGGAAUUACUGGGCGUAAAGCGUGCGCAGGCGGCUUUGCAAGACAGAUGUGAAAUCCCCGGGCUCAACCUGGGAACUGCAUUUGUGACUGCAAGGCUGGAGUACGGCAGAGGGGGAUGGAAUUCCGCGUGUAGCAGUGAAAUGCGUAGAUAUGCGGAGGAACACCGAUGGCGAAGGCAAUCCCCUGGGCCUGUACUGACGCUCAUGCACGAAAGCUAGGGUAGCAAACAGG
rnacentral:rRNA from 1 species